rnacentral:rRNA from 1 species
GAGGUCACUGCUAUCGGUUGUUCGAUUAAGCCAUGAUGAGUCGUGAGGGGUAAAGCUCCUCGGCGGAGUGCUCAGUAACAGGUGGACACCCUACACAAGAGUCAGGGAUACCCCCGAGAAAGUGGGGAUAAUACGUGAUAGCCCAUGACAUCUAGAAUCGAGUUGUGGUUUAAACAUAAGGCUCUCGGAUGUGUCUGCGGCGUAUUAGGUUGUCGCCGGUGUAAUGUACCAGCAAGCCUGUAAUCCGUACGGGUUGUGGGACCAAGAGCCCGGAGAUGGAUUCUGAGACAGGAAUCCAGGCCCUACGGGGCGCAGCAGGCGCGAAAACUUUACAAUGCAGGCAACUGCGAUAGGGGAACAUCGAGUGGCAUCCACCAUGGAUGUCUGUCCAAUCGUCUAAAAAACGAUUGUCAGCAAGGGCCGGGCAAGACCGGUGGCAGCCGCCGCGGUAAUACCGGCGGCUCGAGUGGUGGCCGAUAUUAUUGAGUCUAAAGGGUCCGUAGCCGGCUUUGCAAGUCCUAUGGGAAAUCCAGCGGCUUAACCGUUGGGCUUUCAUGGGAUACUACAUUGCUUGGGACUGGGAGAGGUAGGAGGUACUCAGGGGGUAGGGGUGAAAUCCUGUAAUCCUUUGGGGACCACCGGUGGCGAAGGCGUCCUACCGGAACAGGUCCGACGGUGAGGGACGAAAGCUAGGGGCACGAACCGGAUUAGAUACCCGGGUAGUCCUAGCCGUAAACGAUGCUCGCUAGGUGUCACGGCAGUCGUGAAUUGUCGUGGUGCCGUAGGGAAGCCGUGAAGCGAGCCACUUGGGAAGUACGACCGCAAGGUUGAAACUUAA